UGAGUUUGUGUCAACGUGUGGUGGUGUUUUGCUGAGUGAUGUUCAUUAUUGUUGUUGUGUGUUCUUGUGCGCCAUCACCAGAAUGUCGGAGCUUGCAUUAGAGCAAUGAAGAAAACAUUACAUUUCUUGUUAAACUUCAGGGCUGCCAAUAAAAAGCAGAACUGAUGAAAACAUUGCAAAAAUGCUAAGUAUUGUGCGUGAAAAUCGUCGGCUGACAGUGAGAAGUACAGAAGACCACAUAAACAUUGAUAGAGAAACAGUUAGGAAAAUCUUAAAUGAAAAUCUUGACAUGAGAAAGGUUUGUGUAAAAAUGGCCCUGAAGGAGCUCACUGGUGAACAAAAGCAAAGAAGAAUCGAAAUUUGCCAAGACCUUUUGGAGAGGCAAGACAAUGUUUUGGGCCAUGUUAUCACUGGUGAUGAAACAUGGGUGUACAAAUACAACCCUGAAAGAAAGCAUCAAAGUGCACAAUGGAAGUCAGACAAUUCUCCACGACCAAAAAAAUUCUGUCACUCCAAAUCAAUAGUCAAAAACGAUGUUACUAACCUUUUUUUGAUAUCAGUGGGAUUAUUCAUUAUGAGUUUGUACCAACUGGACAAACAGUUAACAAAGUUUACUAUUUGGAAGUGCUGAAAAGGCUGCAUGAAAAAGUUAAAUGAAAACAACCUGAACUUUUCACCAACAACUCACGGCUCUUGCAUCAAGACAAUGCACCAGCUCACACGGCACUGUCUGUGAGGGAGUUUAGCCAGUAAACAAAUAACUGCAUUGGAACACCCUCCUUACUCACCUGAUCUGGCUCCCAAUGACUUUUUUCUUUACCGAAAAAUAAAGAAAAUAUUGAAAGGAAAACAUUUCAAUGACAUCCAGGACAUCAAGCGUAAUACGACAACAGCUCAUUCCAGAAAGAGUUCCAAAAUUACUUUGAAGAGUGGACUAGGCGCUGGCAUCGGUGCAUAGCUUUCCAAGGGGAGUACUUCGAAUUUGACUGCAGUGAUAUUCAGCAAUGAGUGCUCGUGUCCGAGAUGUUAUGAGACGUGCACCGACAGUCUUCGAGAAGCACAAGAACAGGGCAGUGGGAUCCAUUGUAAUACACGCCGGGGUAAACGACGUGAGACACCAACAGUCAGAGAUUCUCAAGGCAGACCGCAGCACUAAUCAAAGGUGCGAAGGAGAGGACCCCGUCUGCAAGAAUCUUCAUCUCGGGUCCCCUACCUCUCGUUAGAAGAUCUAACGAGUAUUACAGUCGUCUGCUGGGAUUAAACACCUGGCUGAAAGGUUUCCGCGAGAAUCAAAACAUCGGGUUCAUAGACAACUGGGACCUUUUCUGGGAGAGGUCACAUUUCUUCAAGCGGGAUGGUCUGCAUCCAGAUAGAUUUGGCACCCGGGUCCUCUCCGAAAACUUCGCUAAGGUAAUUCGUCUCUCUUGACUCGCUAUUUCUACUCCUAACUCUUUCCGUAAUGCUUUGCUAGGACAUGAUAAUUCUUUAACGAAGUCUUCCGCAAAAGUGCACUGCAUUACUACUCUAAUAACUAACCUCAAUGCAUGUAAAAAAUCUAGGCAGUGCGGCAUAAACACGAAUAAUUUAAUUACAAUUACACCUUUAGAUGAACAAUGUAUUUAAUCUAUAAAAACAGAUUAUAGAUUAAAUAAAAAAUACGCACAGAGCGACACUAAUAAAAAUAAUAAUUUCUAUCUCAAAUACCCAUAACGCACAUAAAAUUCAGCUCUGCUCAUCCGAAACAUUAAAUAUGGCUUUAUUAAAUGUUAGAGCAUUGACCAGCAAGACGUUUUCCAUCAACGAUCUUAUUAGUGAUAGGAAAAUUGAUUUUAUUGCACUAAGUGAAACGUGGCUUACCUCUAAUGGCGCGGCUGUUUUAAUCGAAUCUGCGCCUCCAAAUUACAGCUUUGUUCGUGCGGAUCGCCAAGGAAAGAGAGGCAGCGGUUUAGCUAACAUUUACUCGAGCCGGUUAAAGUGUAAAGAUGUCCGUUUUGGUACAUUCAAGUCCUUUGAGUAUCUUGCCGUUGUUAUUCAUGGAGUUUCUCAGUUUCUAGAAUUAUCCGUGUAUAGACCUCCUAAAUACAAUGCGUCUUUCUUUGAGGAAUUCUCAGACUUGUUGUCAAUUAAAAUUACGAACUAUGACAUGCUCCUAAUAGUUGGUGACUUUAAUUUUCAUAUCGAUAAACAGUGUGACCCAAAAGUAAAAGAAUUUAAGAACCUCCUGGACUCUUUUGAUUUGAGACAGCUCAUUAAUCAGCCUACACAUAAAGCAGGUCAUAUGUUAGACUUAGUUAUUACUAAAGGACUAAAAGUUGAUGUGAAGCAGAUCAUUGAUAUUGGUCUAUCAGACCAUUUUCUUUUACUAUUUAAUAUAGAAAUAAUGAUAGAAAACAUUCACGAGAAGCAUAUUGUUAAAAAAAAUGCUACUUUGAUUCAUCAGCAGCUUCUAAAUUUACAAACAUUCUAAGCAACCAGUCCAUUUGUAGUGCUAACUACAACAGCGAGGAUAAUGUAAAUAUAAGGUGGAAAAAUUUAAUACUAAGGUGAGAGCUGCAGCUGACAUAGUCAUACCUGAAAAGACAGUUAAAAAAUCUUCUAGCAUUGUUAUACCAUGGAAGACCCAAAGAGUGUCUGAUUUAAAGAGAAUAUGCCGGAGAGCUGAGCGUAAAUGGAGCAAAACUGAACUAACUAUCCACUAUGAGAUACUGAAGGUUAAAAUAACAGAAUACAAUAACACAGUCCGUCUUGAGAGGUGCUAUUUCUCUAGAAUUAUAAAUAACAAUGCUAGUAAUCCCAGUGUCUUAUUCUCUAUGACUGAUCAUCUGCUAAACCCAGGUCACUCAAUGGAAUGCCUCCAGAAUACUUUCAGUGAAACUUGUGAGGCUAUUGUUGUAUUUUUCAAUCAAAAAUUAGUGAUAUUAGAAAUAAUAUAGUAUAUCUCCCCAACAAUGCGCAUCCUCUUAAGCCCAAAUUAAAUUCUUUCACCAGGAUAGAUUUACCUGAAUUAUAUAAAAUAAUUUCUCAACUGAGACCCUCCACCUGUGUCCUUGACCCAAUACCAACAAGUUUUUUCAAAGAAGUAUCAGGCGUGCUAAUUGAUAGUGUUCUUGACAUAGUAAACUCCUCAUUAGAUACAGGGGUCUUCCCAGACUGUCUUAAGCCUGCUGUAGUUAAACCUCUAUUCACGAAAAAUAAUCUUGGCUCCUCUGCUUUUGAAAAUUUUAGACCUAUUUCUAACCUGCCUUUCUUAAGUAAAAUUCUAGAGAAAGCAGUCAUUAUGCAGCUAAAUGACCACCUCAAUAAACAUGCUAUUCUUGAUAAGUUUCAGUUGGGUUUCAGAACAAAUCACAGUACAGAAACUGCACUCGUUAAAGUAGUAAAUGAUUUUUGGGUAAAUGCAGACAGAGGCCAUUUAUCUGUUCUCAUCCUCUUACAUCUGAGUGCCGCAUUUGAUACCAUUGAACACAAUAUUCUUAGAAAUCGCCUUAGUCAGUGGGUGGGCCUCUCUGGCAGUGUCUAUAAUUUGGUAGAAAAUUCUUUGUAGUUGUGGUAAUUAUACUUCAAAGACACAUGAUAUUUUAUAUGGUGUUCCACAAGGCUCUAUCCUGGGUCUGCUGCUCUUUUCGAUCUACAUGCUUCCGUUAGGUCAGAUUAUCUCGGGGCAUAACGUGAGCUACCACAGCUAUGCUGAUGACACACAACUGUAUUUAUCAAUAGCACCUGAUGACCCUGACUCUGAUGUUUCACUAAUACAAUGUCUUACUUUUGUUUCUGAGUGGAUGAGUAGUAAUUUUCUCAAGCUAAAUAAAGAGAAAACUGAAAUUUUAGUGAUUGGCAAUAAUGGAUAUAAUGAGGUUAUUAGAAAUAAACUUGAUGUAUUAGGAUUAAAAGUCAAGACGGAGGUAAAGAAUUUAGGGGUAACUAUUGACUCUGACCUGAACUUUAAAUCGCAUAUUAAUCAGAUCACUAGGACAGCAUUUUUUCACUUAAGAAAUAUAGCAAAAGUUAGACCUCUUAUAUCAUUGAAAGAUGCUGAGAAAUUAGUUCACGCUUUUGUUUUCAAUCGAUUAGAUUACUGUAACGCACUCCUCUCGGGACUACCCAAAAAAGACAUUCAUCGAUUGCAACUAGUGCAGAAUGCAGCUGCUAGAAUCCUAACUAGGAAAAGAAAAUCCGAGCACAUCUCUCCAGUUUUGAUGUCACUACAUUGGUUACCCGUGUCAUUCAGAAUUGACUUUAAAAUACUGUACUGCUUAUGGUUUACAAAGCCUUAAAUAAUCUCGCUCCAUCUUAUAUAUUGGAAUGUCUGACAUCUUAUAUUCCAAAUCGUAACCUUAAAUCUUCAAAUAAGUGUCUGCUUAGAAUUACAAGAGCUAAACUUAAAAGAAAUGGUAAGGUGACCUUCUGCUGUUAUGCACCUAAAAUCUGGAAUAGCCUGCCAAUAGGAAUUCAACAGGCUGAUACGGUGGAGCACUUUAAAAAACUGCUAAAAAUACAUUACUUUAACAUGGCUUUCUCAUAACUUCAUUUUAAUUUAAUCCUGAUGCUCUGCAUAUUCAAUUAAUUAUCAUUACAUAUUCAUGGUACUAACCCCUACUCUCUCUUCUGUUCCUUUUCCGGUUUUCUGUGGUGGCGACUUGCACCACCACCACCUAAUCAAAGCACCGUGAUGUUCCUGCAUUGAUGGAUUAAAGGCCAGAAAUCCAUGUGACCGUCAUCAUCAAGUCCUUCCAUGAAAACCCUGAAUACAAUGAGGACUGAUCAUUUAUGUUAGAUAGGUGAUCAAGAACACAACGGUCUGGCUGAACUCCACAGAAUCUGUAUCAAGGUGGCAGAAUCAUCUGGAAGGACAACUACCAUUGCAACACUCCACUAAUCUGGGUUUAAUGGCACAGUGGGCAGAGGACGCAUGAAAGCUUAUUUGGAGUUUUUGAAAAGGCACCUGCAGGACUCUCGGACUAUGGGAAACAAGAUUAUCUGACCUGCUGAAACCAAGAUUGAAACAUUUGGCCUCAAUUCUAAGUGUCAAGUGAAGAGGAAACAAGUUACGACUCAUCAUAUGUGCAAUACCAUUCCAACAGUGAAGCAUGGUCAUGGCAGCAUCAUGCUGCGGGUUGUUUAUCAGCAGCAGGGACUUCAAGGCUAGAUAGAGUUGAAGGAAAGCUGAAUGGAGCAAAGUACAGAGAUAUCCUUAAUGAAAACCUGCUCCAGAUCAUGUUCAUCAUCACCUUCUAAAAGGAAUAUGACCCUAAGUACAAAGCAAAGGCAAUACAGGAGUUACUUAGGGACAACUCUGUGAAUGUCCCUGAUUUGCCCAGCCAGAGCCAGGACUUCAAACCAAUCAAACAUCUCUGGUGAGACUUGAAAAUAUCAAUCCUCCAACAGAGAUAUCAAUCACAGUCAACACAGAUAUUAACUUUUUACUUUCAUUUGUCAAAUAUCGAUUCACAUACCUGUCUG